rnacentral:rRNA from 1 species
UAAUACGUAGGGUGCGAGCGUUAAUCGGAAUUACUGGGCGUAAAGGGUGCGCAGGCGGCCCCGCAAGUCAGACGUGAAAUCCCCGGGCUCAACUUGGGAAUGGCGUUUGAAACUAUGGGGCUGGAGUGUGGCAGAGGGAGGUGGAAUUCCACGUGUAGCGGUGAAAUGCGUAGAUAUGUGGAGGAACACCGAUGGCGAAGGCAGCCUCCUGGGCUAACACUGACGCUCAUGCACGAAAGCGUGGGGAGCAAACAGGAUUAGAUACCCUGGUAGUCCACGCCCUAAACUAUGUCUACUAGUUGUUGGGGGAGUUAAAUCCCUUAGUAACGCAGCUAACGCGAGAAGUAGACCGCCUGGGGAGUACGGUCGCAAGAUUAAAACUUAAAUGAAUUGACGG